CGAACUCAGUUUCUUCUCUAACAUUUCUGUGGCUUCAAACCGAGCCUCUUUUGAGCUCAACGAUCAAUCUUCAAUACUUAACUCCAAUCUGAAUUCUUCUUGAUGUAAUCUUUAAAUAGCCGUCGAUUCCAAUCACCAUGACAUAUUAUUCAUCACCGGACUUCCAUUUAUCUAUAGCAACAACGAACCCUAAAAAUUCCUUCUUCUCUGUUCAUCAAUUACAUCUCAAAUUACUUCUCAAACCCUAACUGCAAUCUCGAAUUCAAACUAAACCCAUGUCUUACAGCCACAUGAACUCAUAAAUUCAUUCUUAAUCUUCUCUGAUUCCACUCAAUUAUCCAUGGCAGUGACAUCUUUUUCAUAGAAUUUCUUAUCUUUUCUCAAAUCCAUCUAAACCCAUCUACGAUGCAUCAGUAAAUACUGUGAGAUAUCGAAGAGGAAGAAGAAGAAGCUAAAGGAGGAAGAAGAAGUUGAAGAACGGCGAGAGAAAACAGACAGUAGUCUGCGUCAAAAAAUGUUAUCCAGACAAUAAUUUGGAUCAAAAAUAUUAUGGAUGUCCAUGUGUAUACGAGGCAAGGGAAUUCACUCGAAUAGAGGUCCAUUCCAGACUCUAACAAAUUGCAUUUAAAGCUUGCUUUUUGAGGAGGGGGAUGAGAUUCAGGUCAUGCAGGAUGGUUGGAGGUGCAAAGAGUGGCAUAACAAAUAGUGGCUGUGAUUUUAGGUGUUAUCUUUUUUUUCUUUUUUUUAUCAUGUAGUACUCUCCGUCUUGAAUCAACAUCAAAAACUGAGAAUUGUAUGCACUAAUAUAUAUAUACAUACUAGGUAUCACCCGGCCU